CGCGAGUCGGCUUCAACCUCAAGCCGCGCUCGCCGGGGCCCGCUGUCUACUUCCAGCGGGACGCCAACGUCUACAUGACGAGGAGCCCGAACUACUCGCUGGGCGCAAAACUGGACGGCGCGGGCAAGGCCACGAAGACGCCCGGGCCCGCGGCCUACCCGCCCAACCUCUAUAACGUCAAGAAGAACCCGUACUCAUACUCGUUCGGCACGAAACACGGCGACUACGCGCCGCCCAUGAUCGUCAAAGAAGACACCAUGGACUGUCUUUGAAAACUGGUGCGUCACUAAACGGAAGCUGUGACGUCACAAACACGCAAACGCGAGUGGCCCCAGAACGGUGUGCCAUCCACUUAAACUUGAUUGAUUGCUUUCGAGACACUUUGUUACAUGGAAUUUGUAAUCAUUUAAGAAAGUAACAAAAGAUGCAAUAUUCAAGUAUUUAUAAAUGUUUUGUAGCAUUUGGACUUUGAUGCUUGUUUGUAAUGUGCUAGUAAAAUGUUUACAAAAACAUUGUAUAAGUGAAGAAACAGUGAUGUUGAAGAAAUUGUAUGAAUUGGAACAUUUCAAAUGAUUUUUGAAAAGUUUUUGUAUUGUUACUGGUCUUUUUGGAGUCCAAAUUGAAUUUUUACUAUUUGAAUUAAAGAUUGUUAUUGUUUUAUAA